rnacentral:rRNA from 1 species
GACGAACGCUGGCGGCGUGCUUAACACAUGCAAGUCGAACGGAAAGGCCCUGCUUUUGUGGGGUGCUCGAGUGGCGAACGGGUGAGUAACACGUGAGUAACCUGCCCUUGACUUUGGGAUAACUUCAGGAAACUGGGGCUAAUACCGGAUAGGAGCUCCUGCUGCAUGGUGGGGGUUGGAAAGUUUCGGCGGUUGGGGAUGGACUCGCGGCUUAUCAGCUUGUUGGUGGGGUACUGGCUUACCAAGGCUUUGACGUGUAGCCGGCCUGAGAGGGUGACCGGCCACAUUGGGACUGAGAUACGGCCCAGACUCCUACGGGAGGCAGCAGUGGGGAAUAUUGCACAAUGGGCGGAAGCCUGAUGCAGCAACGCCGCGUGCGGGAUGACGGCCUUCGGGUUGUAAACCGCUUUCGCCUGUGACGAAGCGUGAGUGACGGUAAUGGGUAAAGAAGCACCGGCUAACUACGUG